rnacentral:lncRNA from 1 species
CUGGGGCAGAUAGACCUGCUGCUGAUAAUUCAACUCAAGCUCCUUCUAUAGUGCUUCCCUUCAUUGCCCCUCCCUCAUCUCCUGCUUCUUUCUUGCCAUCAGAACCUCCUUCCGCAACCCACUCACCAGUUGGCUCGAAAUGCCUUUCCUCUAUGUCUACAUAUUCUCCCAGUGGACCUGCCUCGAUUUUUGCUAUUGGGCCAUACGCUCAUGAACCUCAACUGGUAUCUCCACCUGUGUUCUCUACAUUCACCACUGAACCAUCAACUGCUCCGUUUACCCCUCCACCUGAGUCAGUCCACUUGACUACACCCUCAUCGCCUGAGGUACCAUUUGCUAAGCUUCUUGACCCCAAUCACCAAAAUGUUGAUGCUGGUAAUAGAUUUCCUUUUGCUCAGUAUGAAUUUCAAUCAUAUCAACUUCAACCAGGGAGUCCAGUCAGCAAUUUGAUAUCGCCUGGGUCAGCCAUUUCUGUAUCUGGAACCUCAUCUCCGUUUCUUG